CACCGACAUCAGCGAUUCGUUCUGCGAACCCUGACCGACCGCCAGAUAAGAAUGCAUCCCCAGCUCUUUCAUCUGCUGUUCGCCGAUAACGCGGGUGAUGACAUUCUUGCUGUAGCUGUCAGCCAGCUGGCGCGCCUGAGAGGCGAGAUAAGCGGCGUUACAGAUAUUCGGCGGCAUAUUACCGAGAUCUUUCGC
rfam:Shigella dysenteriae Sd197, complete genome.